AUGAUGAUGUGCGGGCUCAUGUCGAGCCAACUGUCGAUACACUUAAGAUUGGUGCUCUCCAGGUUCCUGUUCGGGAUCGAUGGCAGACGAAUACCCUGGUGUACUCUCGGCGGCAACCACAAGUGCAGGGGGAGCAGCAAGGCAGGGAGGCAAGAGUGCAGGGGGAGCAGCAAGGCAGGGAGGCAAGAGUGCAGGGGGAGCAGCAAGGCAGUGAGGCAAGAGUGCAGGGGGAGCAGCAAGGCAGUGAGGCAAGCUCAUCUGACACAGUGGAGCUGCCCAUUGCGUUGCGAAAACCUACACGUGAAGCGGCAAGGAAGGGUGAGGUAG
rnacentral:rRNA from 1 species